CUUACCACGUCUGCUGCUCGAUGACUCUUGGCCAUAAUCAUGGGUGCCCCACUCUUGAAAUCACUUGCAACCCCUCCUCUCUUUUUCGGAUGAGACAGUCCAAAGGGGAUAGAGAGAGGGACAGGUGGCAGCCUGAGGUCCAAGAAGACGACCCUGGGGGCACCCCAGCCAACCCUUGCUUGGCCAGCCACUUCAUGACACGAGCAUGACACCCCCAAACCCUGAACAGUUCACAGUACAAAUUUAUUUCUGCAUAGAUCAUACAGAAUACAAACAGUCGGGGUCGCCUCUGCUCCCUUAACCAACCAGAGCCCAGCCCCAGAAGGUCCUGCCUCAGGAGUCCGAGGGCACACCCACCACCACCUUCCCCCAGUUACCAGCCAGUAUGUGCAGGGCCCCUGCGACGGCGGCCAGCCUGGCCUUCCUGGAGAGCUCCAUGCUCCCGAUGUUUAUGCAGCGCAGCCCGGCCAUGCCUAGGAAGAGGCCCAGGAAGCCCAGGAAGAUGGCGGUGAUCAUGAGCGCCCGGCAGGCCUGGAGGUACCCUGGGGAGGCGGGGCGCAGCCAUGGGUCCCUAAGCUGGCCCCUUCCCCCUCCGGGGCUGAGCCAGCCCCUUACAGCCAGCCCCUGCUCGGGUCUCAGUCCAUAAAGGCCCUCAAGUCCCCUCCUUCCCCCUCUGGGCCCUAUUCCGCUGGAGCCCUGACGCCCCUCCUUCCUAGGGGCUCAAUUCAGGCCCCGCCCCCCGGCCCCCGGUUCGGCGCACCUGCUUACUGGCUGUCUCCUUGGCACUACUGACACUUUGGCCAGCUACUGCUUUGGUCUGGGGGCCGUUCUGGGCCCUGUGGGAUGUUCAGCAGCAUCCUUGGCCUCUACCCACUAGAUGUCAGCAGGAGUCCGCUCCAAGAGGGACCAUCAAAAUGUCUAGACGUUGUCAAUGACCCCUGGGGGACAAAGUCGCCCCCAAUCACAGCCGAGAACCACUGCUCCGAAUGACAGAAAUUGCACUUGAGUACUCAGCCCCUGCCCCACAUCUGCUUCUCUCUAGGUCCCACGUGGCACAGCCCCUAGACAUCAUGAAGUGAGCUUUCUCCUGCAGUGACCUGUAGGGGGCAGCAGUUGCCCGUGGGUUACUGGGUGGGGGCUGGUUCUGAUCUGGAAAGUGGGGUAUCUAGGCGCAGGACAAUCCAAGCCCACCUAGCUCAUAUACAUUGGAUGCCUCAGUUUCCCCUUUCUCAAAGCUGAAGGAAACGGCCAGUUUCCUUCCCGGCCCCUCUUCCCCCUUCUCUUUGAUACUUGCCAACCACCCCAAGGACCUUGUUCCCCUUUCCUGGGUGGGGCCGUGCCACUGGUGCUGAAGACGCUGGGUCCCUGCCAGGAGGAUGUGAAGUGGCCCGGAGUUGGCGGGUAGAGAGGAGGGACAAAGUUCUCUGGGAGCACUUUCUCACUCCCAGCCACUCCCUCUGGGGUUCCCCCCUCCCCCGUAUCCUCUCUAUCCAGGGCUGACCAGCCCUGGGUCCCUAGGCCGCUGUGGUAGACAAAGGAGAGAUUACUGAUGGGCCACGAGGGAGCGUGGGCUGGGCGGCUGUGGGGGGUUAAAUAAUAGUCAGGACCCCCCCUCGGGACCAGAGUAUCCGCCAGCCUGGGUUCCGGCACCCCUACCACCUGUGGGGCUGUGGGCCGGUUAACGCUUGUGCUUGUAGUUUUCCAGCUUGGGUGAAACGGGGUUGCCCGCGCCCCACGCAGCCAGGCCAGCGGAGACGGCACUGUGAUGGCCUGCGUGAAGAACCAUCACAACGUGGGGUGCCCUGACGACCCCCGAUGCCGAGCAGCUGCCCUCUGCCCUUCCCCCUGGAGCAGGCUCUUGCCCCUCCAUCAGCAGUUCCAAGUGGGGCCCUUCUCGGGCCGACAGGCUCACGGCAAACGCCCCUCUUCAAACCGCGGUGUGGCUGAGGGAUGGGUGAGGCGGGAAGGGCCAGUGCUGCUAAGCCGGCUGCCUGCAAUGUCCCUUCUGGCCACCCGGCAUUCGGGGCUUCUGGUCCAGAUGGUACCCAGCUUUUAUCGGGAGCUUGGGGAGGGCACGUGCCCUGCACAUGGCAAAUCCUGGAGAGGGGGAUGAAGGCACGAAAUCCCUGCUGGCUCAGGAGAUUCUGGGAAUCGCAGGGGCACGAGAGACCCACGCAGACCCCUUAACUGCGCAGAGCAUCUCUGGCAUUCCCGCAGCCCUGUUCCAAACCCAGUGUUGGCUUUAGUUCCAUCCACUUCCCGGCACCUACAGUGGCGAACCGGAAGAGCACGACGGCUCCAAGGGGGGUGCGGGAGUGGCACCAAAAAGAGGACCUGUCCUCCCCUCCUGGUCUCCGGCACGGGCCUACCGAAAAGACUCCCCCGAGGGAUGCUGGGGACUACUCGGUGAACAGGAAGCAGGAAGACGCUAUACCACCAAGGAGAACCUUUCUGGAACAAAAGACCUGUACCUUCCGGCCCUCCGAGAACUUCAAAAAAUCCACCGCCUGAGAACGCUGAACACACAUGCACACACACCCCUAGCUGCUUCCACCAGACACAGCGCCGCGGGAAGUCUCGCUUGAAGAGGGCCCUUGAGAAUUCGCCAUGGCAGUGGCACCGAUGCCUUUUAAGGGUCUCAACGCCAAGAACCCAAGAUGGGCCUCCUCUGCACCCCCACGACCCCCAGCACUCUCACCACAAAGCUGAGAUGCUGAAGUCGGUCUUGUGCGCACACGGGCCAACGAGAAUCACGCUAACGUCCCGGGCUGUAGCUCAACACUCACAACCAUGCCACGCGCCUGUGCACGUUCCCCCGGUUUUACAGUUGGGGUGAACGAAGCUCGUUUCAUCACCGGCGGGGGGCACCGAGCUGGUCAGCUGAGCCCGGCAGUCUGGCCCUGGUGCCUGCACUUGGAACCACUAGGGGUGUCACAUUAGGGCAGGGGGACACGUGGGACGAGGUCUCCAGUGCGGCUCCAGAUGGGGGCCGCCGGGCACUCCCAGCUCCCCAAGCUCGAUCCAGGCCUCCCUUAUCGGCUCGGUGCCCAAGGCCCGACCGUGGGCAGCAGUCACCCUCCCCGGGGGUCUCUCCCCGCCUCCCGCCGCCCCCUGGAGCGGGCCACCCCGCUCUCUCCACCCCAUACCGGAGAGGGCCAGCAAGGACGGGAACUCCCGGCAGCUGUAGACUCCCAGGGAGUCGGUGGCACAGCUAAACCAGAGGUUCUCGAAGAUGGUGUUGGUGGUGAUGACGCUCCCGUGCACGGUGGACACUCGCCAGUAGCUGUGUGGCAGGGUCACCCCCAGCAUCAGCAGCCCCAGGGCCGCCAUGAAGAAGCCGAAGAUCUCCACGGCCACCGACAUGGUGAGAUGCAGGGCCCUGAGGGGCGCCUGGGGCCCCAGAGGAGGGGAGGGGCUGAGCCCCAAGGGAACUUGAGGGGCUUUGGCUAAGGAGGGGUGUUAAGGCAGGCUGGAGAGAAAGGUGGAGAGAGCAGGGGGGGCCAGCAGCAACCUGGGGUGCAGAUCUGCCCCCACCCCCCCGGCUUCUGCCCCCUGCCCUCCCUCUGGGUUCCUGCUUCCCCGAAGGUCCGGGCAGAGGAAUGAGCCCAGAGCGCCGGGCAGCUGUUGACGCGGAGAUGGAGGGAAGCAACGGAACACGGGCCAAAAGUCCACCCCCUCCCCCAGCCUCUGGGCUCCCCGCCCCACAAGGGGGGCGGAGAGGACUAAUGGGAGUGACCAACGAACGGAUGGGGCUGAGGGGGGCCCCCACGGGAGGCACUGGGAGCAGAGGGGAAGCAGGGAAGUCGCUCUGACUCAGCUCUCAUCGGGGGGCCGGAGAAUGGAGCCAGGACAAGGAAAGAGAAGGUGACUGAGAGACCGGGGCCACAGACAGACCUUUCGCGGGGCAGGAUCCGGGAAGCGGAGCCCCCCUCCUGGAUGUUGGUGAGAACAAUUUAAGAAACUCCAAAGACUUAGGGUUCGGGCUACUGAGUCACCGAAGAAGAUUAAGGUUGAGUAAGGCAUCAGGGCGUCUGGGCGGAACCCGCAGCUCUGGAGUCCAGUCAACCUGGAUUCAAACCAGACCCACCAUCUACCAGAGCCACAAGGGCCUGGAGUCUGAGCCCCUCGGGCUUGUUCCUGCUUCUGUGAACUAGAACUGGCUCCCUCACCACUGUGACCCCAGAUCAAAAGCUCCCUGCACGUGGGAACUGCGCCAUCCUCGGGGACCACUCUGGCUCCGGGUGCCGCGGGCACAGGGUGAGGCCACCAGUGGGUUGCUUCCCUCCAAACUUCAACUUCUUGAACUUGAAUUUCCCCCCUCAUCGGGUUGAUCUUUGACUCUCGGCAACAAGCUUGAUCUCGCUGCCAAGGGCCACCAAGGGGGAUAAAUCACAGGCCCAGAACGUGAUCCUGUGGCUAAUCUAAGCAGCUCAGUUAUCAGAACUGUCACCAGCUCUAUUAAUUACGAUGGGUUAGAAACGGCCGGGCCCCAACCCCAAGCCGAGGCUGAGCACCUGUCCUGGUGCAGACAGUAUCAUUUCCUGCCUCAAGGCCACAGCCAGGGCAGCUCUGGUUCUCCUCUGGCAAGCGCAGCAGGGGCUUGGUCUCCAGGGGUAGGGGGGCACCGAUGCUACCCCCCAGGCAGUCACAGGGGACAUCAAGGAGCCGAAGGGUACCCCAUCACCCCCCUCCCCAUGUCGGGCUCCUCUGCGCUCCCCUCAGGUGCCUCCGCCCCAACCCCCCCCCCCCCCCCCCCCCCCCCCCGCCCCAAGCCAGGCUGGCUUGGCUGUGGAACGAGAGGUAUGCGGUGAAGCAAGACAGGCCCACGCUGAGCCUGGCACCGGGCGGGUGUGGGGCAAAGCAGGCUGGGUGGGGACUGGGUCCUGACCUUCCAUCUCGGAGCCUAUGACUGGGAUGUCCUGGGUUUGCAACCUUUCUCAAGAACCUGAGGAGUCCUCUCGAAGGCCCAGCCCUGCCCCUGGGCGGCAGCCCCUCCCCAGGAGAGGACGGGGAGGAGGGGGCCGCAGGAAGACAAAGGGAGAGAAGGGUGGAGGUUUGGGAGGAAACCGAGUGGGGGCCCCCCCUGGUGUGGAAAACUCCACGUGCUAAGAGGCAGCUGUGUGGGUCAAAGGAGACAGGAGACAUAAAUCCUGGCCUGUCCCCUCAGCUCUUCCCUUCCCGCCUCCCGUCACUGCCUUCUCCCAGGAUUCCAGCACCGUGCAAAGGCCACGUCCCGUGUCCCUGUGUCCCCAUGCUGCCUACCACUGCUUUGGGGGAGGGGAAGGAAGGAAGGGUGUGGGCUCUGGGCAGCUUGGCGGACAAAGGCGAACCCCACACCAGCCUGGGGGCGGGUAGGAGUAGGAAGGCGAGCAGGAAAGGACCACGGGUGACCCCCACCUUUGGGCCCAGUGGAGCCCGCCCCUUCUUCCACACAGACACAGCGGUUCCGAGCCAAAGCCCAGUUUUAUUUACACUCGUCCCGGAGCACGUGGUUUGGGGCUAUUGGACAGGUCUCUGGGGACAGGAGGCCGAAGGCAGAGGGCAGUGAUGGGGUACAGGGGAAGGGACGGAAAGGAUGGACGGCCACCCCCCCACCCCCCCUUCGAACGUCCUCCACAGGCUCCCAGGCAUCCCUGGGCAGAGGCGGAGGCGCGGUCUCCUUUAGGAUUUGGACUUGGAUACAGCAAGUCCGAUGAGUCCAGCCAGUCCCGCCACGCCCAGGGCCAUCCCUCCAACAAUGGCCAUGCCCACUAGUCCGUCUGGGGAAGGGAAAAGGGAGACUGUCAGGAGCCCAGCCCCCACAGGGACCCUGCCCGGUGCGCCUCUUCCCCUGGAGUCAUGAGGCAAGGGACUCCAAGGCGUACAGAAAGAAGGGACUGAGGGACUGAGGAGGAUGUGCCUGGAGCGGGGGAAGGGGUCCUUUAAAGGGAGACCAGAGAGGGGGGUGCCUGGGUGGCUCAGUCGGUUGCGCGUCCGACUUCAGCUCAGGUCGUGGUCUCGAGGUUUGUGGGUUCGAGCCCCGCAUCGGGCUCUGUGCUGACAGCUUAGAGCCUGGAGCCUGCUUUGGAUUCUGGGUCUCCCUCUCUGUGCCCCUCACCUGUUCACACUCUGUCUCUCCCUCUCACAAAAAUAAAUAAAUAAACAUUAAAAAAAAGUAUCUUCUGAAGGGCAAAUUUAAAAAAAUUAAAUAAAUACAAAAUAAAGGGAGACCAGAGAGCCCAGGCGUGGGGGAAGGAAGACGACUUGGUGAAGAGCAGAGAGGUGCCCUGGGAGGACAGGACGACGGGGCCAGGGAGACAGGCAAGCAGGGGGAGCGGGGAGCAGGGGGGUGGGGGGCCGAGGGGAAGGUUCACCUUUCUUCAUGGCCUUGUCAAUAAGCUGCUCCAGUUCCUUGGCCUGGUUGUUCUGGGGCUCUGUCUGCAGCAGCCCCCGCACAUACUUUAGUGCCUUCUCAUAUUCCUGCGCUCAGGGAAAACACAGACACACACACCCCCAGUAUUCCAGCCUCUUCCAGCCCCUCAGAGGGACCUGCACUUGCCCCGGAGGCUCCUCCCUCUACCCCCACCUCCUCCCUCCCUCCGACCCCACCCAACAGAGUAGAGUCCACAAACAACCCCAACUGUGUGGGGGUGAUAAGCCUGGGGAGAUAACCAUCCAAGGCUCGGGGCUGCACCCCAAUCCUGAGGUCACCCACACCCUUGGCACCUGGAUCUUCUGUCCCUCACCUUCCCUCGGCGUCAGGACCCGUCGCCUUGCACCUCUGUACCCGACACCCCCCCUGCCCACUUGCCCUGUCCGGCCUCCCUGACGGCCAGGGCUCUACCCUGGAGGGGAAAUGACGGGUGGGGUGGCCCACCCGGAGAGGGAGGGGGGGGAAGAAGGGGGCUGCCGCCUUACCUUGAGCCGGUAGUUCCCCACAGCCAGGUAGAAAACAUAAUCCCGCUGCUCCUCUUUGCUCCCGUUGGGCAGCAGCUCUGGGGAGGGUGGUGGCAAGAGGGUGAAACCCGCUCCUCUCCUCUCCUAGUGCCUGUGUCCCAGAGACCCCCCCCACUCUCCGAAUCCCUGUACGACCCCGGGACAAAGUCACCGUGCUGAGCUUCCAUUUCAGCUCUGGCCCUUCUUGGCUUCCCAGUCAGGGCUCCGGGGAAGCACAAACCCAGGCUGCCAAAUACCCCGCUGAUGAACACCCUGGUUUCAACACUAUAUAGUCAGCUCUAGUUCAUCUAAGUGAACUGGAAGGAAACUGAGGCACUGGAGAAGCCAAAGGUACCCGCUGUGUUCUCACUGUAGCUGUUUGCUGCCCAGAUUGGGGUUAAAAUAAAUUUGCACUCCCCCCCUUUAAAAAAUCAGCUCAAAACCCCCCUUCAGUUAGCAUUCUCUGAAUGACCCCUGCCUGACUCUAUCUUAAUUCAGUGACUUCGCAGAGGCUUCUGUACAAUUUGGGGCUAAGUAGCUUUGCAGGUGUUCAUAAA